rnacentral:tRNA from 1 species
GCCGCCAUGGUGUUGUAGACA